CUCCUCAAUGUUCUGGGCGACACGCGCACUACAAUGUCAGUGAGAACAAGAACUCGGACUUUUAGUCCGCUCCAUCUUGAUUCAAGAGAGAUGGAAAACACCGGAAUCACAUAGACCCAAUUGGGACCGAGGAUUGCAAUUGUUGGUCGCGCAACGAGGAAUGUCUCGUAAGCGCAGCUCAUCAAACUGUGCUGAUUACGUCCCUGCCAUUUGUACACACCGCCCGUCGUUGUUUCCGAUGAUGGUGCAAUACAGGUGAUCGGACCGACGAACCUUUGGUUUGUUGUGGAAGUUCACCGAUAUUUCUUCAAUAGAGGAAGCAAAAGUCGUANCA
rnacentral:rRNA from 1 species